rnacentral:lncRNA from 1 species
ACUCUGUCUCAAAAAUAAAAAACAAAAAAUAAAUAAAAAUGAUACAAGGCAAGACUCCGUCUCAAAAAAAAUUCAAGGCUGGGUGUGGUAGCUCAUGCCUGUAAUCCCAAUACUUUGGGAGGUCAAGGUAGGCAGAUCACUUAAGCCUAAGAGUUCGAGACCAGCCUGGGCAACAUAAUGAAAACCCGUACAAAAAAUACAAAAAUUAACUGGGCUUUGUGGUGGGCACCUGUAAUCCCAGCUGCUGGGGAGGCUAAGGUGGGAGGAUUGCUUGAGCCUGGGAAGUUGAGGCUGCAGUGAGCCAUGAUUGCGCCACUGCACUCCAGCCUGGGCGACAGAGCGAGACUGUUUCAAACAAAAAAGAAAACAAAAACCUUCAGAUGUUUCCUGGCCUUUUAUUUUAUAUUAAACCCAUUCAGUUUUUGUUGGAAAAGUAAUAUAUAAUCAUUUUUAAAUUGGCAAAUGUACUCACUUCAGCAGCACAAACACUAAAAUCGGAAUGAUACAGAGAAGAUUAGCAUGAAUGACAUGCAAAUUCGUGAAGCCUUCCGUAUUUUCCUGUAGCACUGUAGGAUGACUAUAGUUAAUAGUUAUAUAUUAUACAGUUUCAAGUAGCUAGCUGGAGGGUAUUGAAUGUUCCAACACAAAGAAAUCUUAAGUGUUUGAGAUGAAAUGCUAACUACGCUGAUCUGAUCGCUAUACACAUAUGUGUCACAACAUCACUAUGUAUCCCGUAAGUAUGUAAUUAUUAUGUGUCAAUUUAAAAAUUUAAAAGUAAAAAAAUACAUAAAAUUGGAAAAGAAAGAAACCUAGAAAGACAAAAAAUACAAGCCAUAUUCUACCAUCCAAAGGUAAUACUUAUAAAUGUCAUUGCAUUUUACACAUCUUAACUUCCCAUCUAUUAAAAAUUAGUUUUUAUUACAUUUUUAAAUUUUUCAUUAUCGUCAAAAUAAUCAUGUAGAAAGACAUAUAGUAUAAAAAUUUUCCCAGUUUCCUCCACAGCAGCAUUUCUGAGUUAGUCACUGUUAUCCCUCUAGACAGUUUUAUGUGUCUAUUAAACAUAUUUUCAAACUUUUUGAAUAAAUAGGUUUUUGUUUGACUCAAAAAAUAAUACGUUUCUUGUUUUUUUGUGUAUUUUUGAGACGGAGUUUUACUCUUGUUGCCCAGGCUGUAGUGC